CACUUACUGCACUGCACGCAGCAAUUGCACGCUCUUCCUUGCACCUUUUCGCGUCUUCUCUGCACAGUCUGCACUUGACGCGAGAGACACACUCGAGCACGUCAGUUGUUCGGAUAUUGAUCCCUUCCCCCUUCCCCCUUCCCUUCUCUCGCAUUAAUCGACGUUCCAACUUCCAACGUGUAAAUAGAGAUUCGGAAUUUAAGUAAGUAUACGAAACAGCUGUCGUUUGAUUACGUUUGAUUUUAUCCCACCACAUCUUGAAUCAUCGCAAGGAGAGGCAGAAAAGUUCGUUGUACAAUCGAGUGGAAUUCGAUUUAUUCCUUUCAAUCCUUUGCGCACUUGCUGCAACUCGUGCUUCUUUUUUUUCAACCCCCAUCAAAAUAUAUUAUUGUACGUAUAUGAAUCUAUUAAGAUCAAAUGCAAAAAGUACAACGAAAAAUAAGAAAAAAAUUAUAUUUGUUUUGUUCGCGCGCUUUUAAUCGCAUUUAAAAAAAUCUUCCGCAUUUAAUUUCUUUGACUGCUAAAUUUUUUUUAGUAUUCAAAUAGAAAAUUCAUUUCAAUUUGAUUCAACCUUGCAAAAAUCUACAUUUCUGUAAGUAAUUAAUUAAUAAAUUAUUUUCCCUACGAUGAAAAAAAUAGUGCUUUGACGAGUGAGAAAUAAUAAUGGAAUCGACAUCGAAUCGAUUAUUAAUAUCGAUUCGUCGCAUUGAUCGUUUCGAUGUCGAUUCGAUAGGUGAUUUUUCGUUGGGCACAGUGGGGCACAGUGACGGCAGUGACCAGCAGCGACUGGUGACGGCACUGUCCUACAUUAAGCGCGGAAUUACAUCGAAUUGAAUCCAAGUAGAUAUGGUAGAUAUGUUAGCGCGGGAAACGAGGGCGUAACGCGAACGCUCGGCGCAACGGGAUCUGCGGGAUGCGAUGGGGUUUCGUCGUUUCUUUCAACUUUCUUGUCUUCCGCGAGGCCCGCGGUCACAUCCUUGAGCGUCUACGGGACGUCGCCGACAUUGGGCGCGGCGAGGGAGAGAAGAGAUGCGUAUCGGAAUUAAUUAUC